ensembl:lncRNA
GUUUUGUACUUCAUGCAGUAGGGCUGGCUCAUUUGUCCUUGAACCAUGGCUUAUUUAUUGGUGCUAUAUCAUCAGACUGCUGGGGGAGAUCUUAUGAUGCACUGGACAGCUCAUCUCUAAAUCCUUUUUUUCACUCUUUAUUCAUUUAUAUGCCCCUAUUUCAUGCCAUUAACCUUCUGUGCUUUUUCUUUUCGCUUCACCUUAUUAUCUUUUCCCUCACCCUCCAACCACUUGUGGCAGAUGAUUGACAAAUGGUUUGACUCCCUGAGCCUAGUUCUGCCAGAGGUGUCUCCUUGUUAAAAGAGACUUUGUUUUCUUUUUUCAAAGAGUGGCCAAGUGGUAGGCCAUAGUGGUUGGAGGAUUAAGCUUGGGUGGGCUUUGAUUGUGUAUUGAGAUGUAAUGUUUUAUGUUUGUAGAGUUACAUAGUGUACAGCUGCUGAAAGUAGUGAAUAAGAUGCUAUUGAGGUGGGGGCCUCCAGGCACAUGUGAAGCACAUUGGUAUAUUAUCAUAAUUGCAGCCAUUAGGAAGUCAAAACCUACAAAAUUAACAUCCAACUAAACAACCCAAAAGCAAAUAGAUGGAAUUAAUUGUAUGAUGAAGAAUGUUUUAAGGGAAAGUUUAUGUCUAUACAGAAUACAAACACUUUCUCUUGUUUACUGGUUUUUUCCCCCCCGUCUCUUUUGUCUUAAAGAGAAGAAACAAAUGAAUUUUACUCAGGGUAUAUCACUGAGAAAAAUGUGUUGUGCCCAUGAGCGAGUGUGCAGCCAGAUCUGUGCUCACGUAAUUCACUUUUCCAAAGCUCAGAUUUCAAAAUGGCAUGUUUCUCUUAUUUAUGCACAAGCACAUAAAUUAUUCAGUGGGUUUUCGAUAGCCUGCAGCAUUAAACCUGAUGGCUAAUAGAAACACCAAACUAAAAACAAACAAACAACAACAACAAAAACAAACUAAAAAAAUAUCUUCAUAGCGGUCUGUUGCUUUAAUAAAAAAAAACAAAACGUACAUUUGUAAUCUGCUUUAGAUCGCUCAAUGUCUGCUGUUGAAAUGCCAAAUUCGUCUGCAGUCUCUGUGUACUUGUUUGAUGUGUAUUCAUUCUCUUCUCUUUCAGGUGUUUCACUGAAAGUGAAAAAGUACACGAAAGAGCAAAAAACAAAUGCAUAGUGUUUCUUCCUCAACCUUCUCCUCCUCUCAUAUUUGUGUUUUAAUGAUUUCUGUAGACACAGCUUUUAUUAUGAACAGUCAGACAGACAAAAGAAUAGACAGAGAGGACAAAACACUGAAAAUAUGAAGAUGGCAUGCUGUGAAUACCAAGGGAAUCAUUUUACACAGCUAAUCCCAGCCACCUCAAAUGCAUCAUGACUGACUUGACUGGCAUGAAUAUUAUAUGUUUCAGUAACAUAAUGUGUGAUACAUUAUGUUUCUUUAACACAUGAAAAAUUUGGUCAUGCUCCUAACUGUAUAAGGUCACUGGUACCAAACGGAGAGAGCAUAUAACCCCAGUUUUAGCUUCUUUACACUCGCUUCCUGUCUCCUACAGGAUCCAAUUUAAACUUUUACUUUUUGUUUUUAAGUCACUUAAUGCCCGAGCCCCUCCUUACCUGUCUGAGCUCCUCUCUGCCUAUGCUCCAGUAAAAAACACGAGGUCUAGCUCAAAACUAAUGCUGUCCAUCCCACGGACUAAUCUCAAAUGCCGUGGUGAUAUUUCCUUCUCUGUGGCAGGUCCCAGAUUUUGGAAUAGUCUGGGAUCUGCACAAACACUUGAGCAAUUUAAAUCAUUACUAAAGACACAUUUCUAUGCCCUGGCUUUUAACACACUAUGACCCAAGCAUUUUGGUCUAAUUUGAACUAGUUUAGUUAUUGUUUUAAUUCUUUUAUUGUCCUAUUAUUGUUUUUUAUUGUUAUUAUUAUAUUACAUUGUUGCUUUUUAAUACCAUUUUUAUAUUGUUAAGCACUUUGUGCAGCAUCGGCUGUUUGAAAUGUGCUAUAUAAAUAAAUUUGACCUUGACCUUGACCAUGUAUGC